GACGAACGCUGGCGGCGUGCUUAACACAUGCAAGUCGAACGGAAAGGCCCUGCUUUUGUGGGGUGCUCGAGUGGCGAACGGGUGAGUAACACGUGAGUAACCUGCCCUUGACUUUGGGAUAACUUCAGGAAACUGGGGCUAAUACCGGAUAGGAGCUCCUGCUGCAUGGUGGGGGUUGGAAAGUUUCGGCGGUUGGGGAUGGACUCGCGGCUUAUCAGCUUGUUGGUGGGGUAGUGGCUUACCAAGGCUUUGACGGGUAGUCGGCCUGAGAGGGUGACCGGCCACAUUGGGACUGAGAUACGGCGCAGACUCCUACGGGAGGCAGCAGUGGGGAAUAUUGCACAAUGGGCGGAAGCCUGAUGCAGCAACGCCGCGUGCGGGAUGACGGCCUUCGGGUUGUAAACCGCUUUCGCCUGUGACGAAGCGUGAGUGACGGUAAUGGGUAAAGAAGCACCGGCUAACUACGUG
rnacentral:rRNA from 1 species